rnacentral:rRNA from 1 species
UACGUAGGGGGCAAGCGUUAUCCGGAAUUAUUGGGCGUAAAGAGUGCGUAGGUGGUUAUCUAAGCGUAAGGUUUAAGCGUGCAGCUCAACUGCAUCUCGCCUUGCGAACUGGACUACUUGAGUGCAGGAGGGGAAAGCGGAAUUCCUAGUGUAGCGGUGAAAUGCGUAGAUAUUAGGAGGAACGCCAGCGGCGAAGGCGGCUUUCUGGACUGUAACUGACACUGAGGCACGAAAGCGUGGGGAGCAAACAGG